UCGAGAAUCUUCCGCAAUGCACGAAAGUGUGACGGAGCGACGCCGCGUGAUUGAUGAAGCUCUUCGGAGUGUAAAGAUCUUUUAUAAGGGAGGAAAUUUUGACGUUACCUUAUGAAUAAGGGGCUCCUAAUCUCGUGCCAGCAGGAGCGGUAAUACGAGAGCCUCAAGCGUUAUCCGGAAUUAUUGGGCGUAAAGGGUGCGUAGGUGGUUAUAUUAGUCGCAUGUUAAAGACUCGGGCUUAACUCGAGGA
rnacentral:rRNA from 1 species